AGCUUUGAGCGGCUGCUGACAAACAGAAACUGAGGCUUCGUCGCAUUCCGGCAGCUCGCACACAUCCCCACCUCCGCUGCUGGGAAAGCGCUGCUCCGCCCGGGAGCUGCGGGGCGGUGCGGGUUCCGCCUCUGGCUGUAGCGGAGCACUCGGAGAUGAGCGACGGACCCGCACAGCAGCACCAAAACCCGCAUCCCUCCCCGGCCCCGCAGUGCCGGACCCCGCCCGGCUCACAGCUCCAAAGGGCAGCUCGAGCAAUGUUAAAAAUAAAAUCCUUUAUUGAUCAUACGAAUGUUUAACACGUUUAAUGCCGUCAGCUAUAAAAAUGAUUAAAGACUUCAGCUCGGUACGUUUGGCUUUACAAAUGUACAAGUGUUAAUGGAUUAAUACCAGAGUACACGUCUUUGCACUUCAUUAUACUCCAUUC
rnacentral:lncRNA from 1 species